GGUUAACUCAUUUCCAUGGGUCCAGACUAGUAUUCUUCAAAUAAAGCAGGGUCUGUGUAACUUUCUUAGACAAUUCUUGGACUUAUUUAUUUAGAGAGCAGGGGUAGGGGCAGAGGGCAAGGGACAGAGAGAAUCUUAAGCAGGCUCCGUACCCAGCACAGAGCUCUAUGCGGGGCUUGAUCUCAUGACCCUGAAAUCAUGACCUGAACUGAAAUAGAGCCGAAUGCUUAACCAACUAAGCCACUCAGGUGCCCCUUUUUCGUGUUUGAGAACUACCUGAGAAGUUGUGUUGAAAGAAUAACACAUAGAUGUGGCAGGAUGGUAUUUUGAAAAUUAUGUUUUCCUCUUUUCCCAUUCAUUCUUUCUUAUUACCCUAUCCCUUCCCUGACACUCACCCUUUAGGCUCCUAAUUCUUUUGCCUUUAUUGCCUCGAGAAAAGAAUGAAAGAAAACACAAACUCUUGAUUUUUGUUUGUUUGUUUUUAGUUAGAAAAAUAGACUUUGAAACUACAAGUAAGAAAGAGUUUAAGAGAAGUCUGGAAAAAAAAAGGGAAGAGUCUGUUGAAGGUGCAAUCUUCUGUAACAUCUCUAUGCUUAUACCAUAGAGAUCAGGUUUCCCGCCCCCAUCUUUGGGUGAUAAAUUCAGACUCCCGGUGGAUUCCCAAAACUGUGGGUAGUACUGAUCCUUCUAUAUGUUUGUCCUAUUCAUGCCUAUGAUAAAGUUUAAUUUAUAAAUUAGGCACAGUCAGAGGUCAACAAUGACUAACAAUAAAAUAGAACAAUUGUAACA
rnacentral:lncRNA from 1 species